rnacentral:tRNA from 1 species
GGCCCCGUCGUCUAGAGGUUAGGACACAGGUCUUUCACACCUGUAACACGGGUUCGAAUCCCGUCGGGGUCG